rnacentral:lncRNA from 1 species
CCGAGAUGACAGGUAAUUCCAACAGCUGUCGAUCGGUGAGUAAAGAUAAAGAGCAAAACAUAAGACGAAUAGUUAGUCUCCCAAAUAUUGAUUCUCUGAAAUAAUUCUUGAAUUACGAGUGAAUUCGUUCAAAUAUCCUUUAUUUUAUUUCUAAAAGUGUGAAUUAACAACACUUGGAGGUGAAUUGGAUACUACGAGCAUACGUAGAAGGUGAUCAUAACCAUAAAUAUAUCGAUUGCAUUGCAUUUGUCUUGAACUGUGACGUAUCCCAAACCGGUGCCAAGUUUGCGACCCGAAGAGACUACGA